CUUUACGGCCAUACCACCGUUGAAUACACCUAGUUCUCGUCCGAUCACUGAAGUUAAGCAACGUCGGGCUCGGUUAGUACUUGGAUGGGUGACCGCCUGGGAAUACCGAGUGUCGUAAGCU
rnacentral:rRNA from 1 species